GAUGCCUACGGGACGCAGCAGUAGGGAAUCUUCCACAAUGGGCGAAAGCCUGAUGGAGCAACGCCGCGUGGGUGAAGAAGGUCUUCGGAUCGUAAAACCCUGUUGUUAGAGAAGAAAGUGCGUGGGAGUAACUGUUCACGUUUCGACGGUAUCUAACCAGAAAGCCACGGCUAACUACGUGCCAGCAGCCGCGGUAAUACGUAGGUGGCAAGCGUUAUCCGGAUUUAUUGGGCGUAAAGGGAACGCAGGCGCACUGUUAAGUCUG
rnacentral:rRNA from 1 species